rnacentral:misc_RNA from 1 species
UUUGCCAGCGUACAAGAACGUUAAUCAUAUGCAGUGCUCCUCGCCCCCACCCCUGCCUCGCCGCCCUUGGCAACCCCUCCCCGCCCGUCUUCGACUCCUCUGCGUGUGUGUCUGUGUCUGCGUGUUUGUGUGUGCGUGUGUGUGUGUGUGUCUCCCCAGCCCUCCCUCUCCACCUCUCUAUUUCUGGCAUUCUUCCUUGCCUGCUUGACCGGUGCCACGUCGGUCAAAACACGAAUAUCUCUGCCGUAAAGAAGGUUCGCGUACCGUGUAUGUGCGUGUGCGAAUCCCUCGGCCGACGAGAUUCCUUGUCUCCAGCGUGCCCAUUUCUCUGCCAUAGAGCACCAUCAGUUCAACGCCCCACUCGCCCUCCCCCCCACCACAUCGCGUGGUGCGAAGCAGCCCUGGACACAAGCGCCACAGCCACGCGCUGACCCAGUCAGUUGAGCACGACCCAUGCCUCCAACCCUACCCACCACCCGCCUAACAGCCGCUCCUUCCAUCAUGCCGGCCGCCACCCUGUGCACCUUUAGGGGUGGCGCUGGCACUCUGCACAUAACGUGGAUGGCACAAGCGUGUGCUCGCUGUCGCGGGUCUCUCCCACGCACCGCCAUCUGGGACCUCACCGCCGACAUCAGCAGCGAUGACUCCCACUGACCUCGCCGUGUCGUGGGCACGCGACCCUGUCACCACCAGGGGUGGCUCGGCAUUGGGAGGGGUGGCGGGGGCUCCACGGCCCCCACCCCCCACCGAGAGCAGGCGCGCCGGGCCCUGACGCCACGCACGGAGAGGUGUCGCAUGUCAUGAGAGGGCUGCCAAUGCAAUGCUCUCACACACAUCCCUGCAAAGGGGCGGCUUCGCCGCGUCCUUGUUGCCGCUCAGCACAUGAAAAUGGUCUCUGUCACCUUCCCUCAUCAGCAUCACUGUCCUUUUAACUUCCCUCACCCCACCCUCGCCUCUCCCGCUCGGUGGGUGGCUUCGACCAG